AACUGCUGUCAAUUCUUAGAAAUGGCCAGCUGUUGGCUAGGAGAAAAACUCCCAUCAGCCUCUAGCAGGUUUAACUUCCUUAGGUGUUUCUCUUCGUUUUUUUAAAUGCCAAUAUGUCACACAUGAACAGGGAAAUGUCUGCUAGACCAGGCUGCUCAAAGCCCUGUCCAACCUAGCCUGGAGUACUUCUAGGGAUGGGGCAUCCACAACUUCUCUGGACAACCUGUUCCAGUGCCUCACCACUUUCACAGUAAAGAAUUUAUUUUAAUAUCUAAUCUAAUCUUUCCCUCUUUCAGUUUGAAGCCAUUCCCCCUUGUCCUACCACUGCAGGUCCUUGAAAAUAGUCCCUGUCCAGCUUUUCUGUAGGUUCAUUAAAGGUAUAGGUAGGUGCUCUAAGGUCUGCUCUGAGCAUUCUCCAGGGUAAACAACCCAAAUUCUCUCAGACUGACAUCAUAGGAGAGGGACUUCAUCCCUCUAAAUAUCUUCAUGAUCCUCCUCUGCACUCACUGCAACAGGACAUGUCCUUAUCUCUUAUACCAUUGUUCACCUUCACCAAGGAAAGAAGAGACCAGAGGUACCUGUUAAGCUGCUGGUUUGUGCUCUGUGGGCCUGGGUCGCGCUGUGCGAGUGCUGCGGGUGGCAGUCCGUCUGUCUUGGUGCUGUAUGUCAAUACAAGGAGGGCAAUCAUGCUGCUACAGCACUGUUAAACCACCUCCAAAUGCUUCCUCAUGGGGACAAGAGGUUGUUGCAUCCAGAGUACAUCCAGUUGUGCAUCCAGAAUGAGCAGCAGCUGAUUGUGACACUGAGGAGUAAAGGCAGGGUUGUGGGAAUGUGAAGGGUGCUCCACCUCAGACACCAGCUGAACACAUACUUCCAGAGUGGCAGCUGUAGCAGAGCCUGGCUACAGCUUGGUUGUGCCCUCCAGCAUGAGUGCACAGCCUAAUAAUGAACAUAUGCAAGAUCUGGUUUCAUUCCUGCUCCCUUCACAUGUGUCUCCUUCAGCUUUCCCAGCAGCAGAGGGCAGCUCAUGAGCCCUGCAGUGCCCCAGGUGAUGCUCUAGAAAUACAUUUUUCUCAGUAACCCCAACAUGCAAUGCUACUGGCUUGGGAAGCGUGGCUGGACAGCUACCUGGCUAGGGAAGGAAUCGUCUCCCUGCAUUCAGAACUGGUAAAUGUGCACCUUGAAUGCUGUGUUCAAUUUUGGGUCACUCACUACUACUUUAUCUCAGCUGAUGAAAGGUCUGGGGCACAAAUCUAAUGGUAAGCAGCUGAGUUUAGCCUGGAGGCCUUAUUGCUCUCUACAACUACUUGAAAGGAGG
rnacentral:lncRNA from 1 species